UUCAAAAUAAAAUUCAAUUUAAAUAAAAAAAUUAAAUUUAAUAUUAAAUUAAUUAAUUACUAAUAAAUAAAUUUUAUAUAAAAAAAAUAAUUAAUUUAAUAAUAAUUUUAUUUUAAAUAUUGAUCUAAUAUAUAAAUUAACUUAAUUUAAUAAAAAUUAUGUUUUUAUAUAAUUAAAUAUCAACAAUAAAUAAAAAUAAAUUAAUUUAUAAUUAAAGUGUAAUUUCUAUAACUAAACAAAUUCCCCUAAUUAUUGAAUACCGCCAAAUAAAAUAAUUUUAACUAAUAUUAAUCUUCAUUAAAAAAUAAAUAAGUAAUUAAUAUACUAGGGUAUCUAAUCCUAUUGAAUAAAUUAAACUAAAAUUAAUUAAUUAUUUAAAUAAAAUUUAAUAUUAUAAAUUUCACCUAUAAAAUUAAAAUCAAUAAAUUAAUAAAUUAAUAAAAUUAAUUUAAUAAAUUAAUUUAUAUUUAUUUGU
rnacentral:rRNA from 1 species